rnacentral:rRNA from 1 species
UACGUAGGGGGCAAGCGUUGUCCGGAAUUAUUGGGCGUAAAGCGCGUGUAGGCGGCCAGAAAAGUCCGCUGUGAAAACUCGAGGCUCAACUUCGAGCUGUCGGUGGAAACUUUCUGGCUAGAGUCCGGAAGAGGAGAAUGGAAUUCCUGGUGUAGCGGUGAAAUGCGCAGAUAUCAGGAGGAACACCCGUGGCGAAAGCGGCUCUCUGGGACGGUACUGACGCUGAGACGCGAAAGCGUGGGGAGCGAACAGG